CACUAAGAAGCUUCUACAGCACUAGCCUUUUAAGCUAGAGAAGAGGGAUUACACCCUCCUUAAUGAA
rnacentral:tRNA from 1 species